GGGGUUGUGGCUCAGGGGUAGAGUGCUUGCUUGCCAAGCAUGGGCAAGGUGCUGGGUUCAGUCCUCAGCACCACA
rnacentral:tRNA from 1 species